rnacentral:rRNA from 1 species
CAGUCGCCGCGGUAAUACAGAGGGUGCGAGCGUUAAUCGGAUUUACUGGGCGUAAAGCGUGCGUAGGCGGCUUCUUAAGUCGGAUGUGAAAUCCCUGAGCUUAACUUAGGAAUUGCAUUCGAUACUGGGAAGCUAGAGUAUGGGAGAGGAUGGUAGAAUUCCAGGUGUAGCGGUGAAAUGCGUAGAGAUCUGGAGGAAUACCGAUGGCGAAGGCAGCCAUCUGGCCUAAUACUGACGCUAAGGUACGAAAGCAUGGGGAGCAAACAGGAUUAGAUACCCCCGUAGUCCCUGUCUCUUAUAA